GUCCGUCGUGAAGAGGGAAACAACCCAGACCGCCAGCUAAGGUCCCAAAGUCAUGGUUAAGUGGGAAACGAUGUGGGAAGGCACAGACAGCCAGGAUGUUGGCUUAGAAGCAGCCAUCAUUUAAAGAAAGCGUAAUAGCUCACUGGUCGAGUCGGCCUGCGCGGAAGAUGUAACGGGGCUAAACCAUGCACCGAAGCUGCGGCAGCGACACUAUGUGUUGUUGGGUAGGGGAGCGUUCUGUAAGCCUGCGAAGGUG
rnacentral:rRNA from 1 species